rnacentral:miRNA from 1 species
GGAGGACGGACGGACAGACGGCUGGCCGCGCCAUCUGCUCGCCGGAGCUCACUCU